UUGCACUAAAGACUUACCAUCACUUACUCCUCUCACUCUCUCACACACACGCGCACUCAGCCACUCACCCUCUUUCUCUCGCUGCCCUAAGUCCCACUCAACUGAGAUGUGAGAACUGCAAUCAGAAUCAUCGUCUGCAAAAUAGUUCAAUCUCAAAUUAUGCUUCCUUUGUUUAAUUUUUCUGUUUCGAUUUAGAUACUUAAUUCUUGAAGACAAUCGAAUUAUUCAUUUAUCUAAUCUUUACUGAAUUGGAAACGUUCGAU
rnacentral:lncRNA from 1 species